rnacentral:lncRNA from 1 species
CCCGCCCCCCACCCCCCGCGCGGCGGUUAUGAGGGAGUUUAUCCCUCACUUCCUUCACAGGAAAAAGAGGUGAGGGGGGGGCACUUCGAGGGGUGUCAGAGGGCUCGGGGCAUGGCCGGGCUGCCCCUGCCCGUCCCCGGUGAGGCGGCGGGGAGGGGGUUUUGCCGUUCCGCGCCCCCCCCCCCCCCCCCCCCGGGGCCCCCCCCCCCCCCCCCCCCCCCCCCCCCCUUCGCUCCUAAGCGGGAGUUUCCAGGAAGCGCUGAGGAGAGCCGCAGCACCGCGCAGCCUCUCGCACAGCUAGUUCCUUCCGCCGAGGCCGUGGCAGGAACGCCAAGUAGUCCCAACCACCUCGCCUCCUUCAACCCGGCAAAAGGCUCCGUCCCUCAGCGGGAUGCCUUUAUAGAAACGGGGAGAGAAGGACCAGUUCUGAUGCAUGCUGAAAGAAGUGUGUGCUUCAGCACUGAUUAAAGUCAUGUAUGAGUUAAUGAGAAGCUUGCAGAGUAUGUGAAGCAAGAGAAAAUCUUUAACCAGCUCUGCUGUUCCUUCUACAUACCACAAACUUGUAAGCUGUAACCAGAAGGUGGACUGAAUAUGUGUGAAAUGCUGCAGUAGGAGACUCUUGUAAUUGCAUCACAGGUGGAUGCUCACUCAAUUAAUGUAUUAUCAUUUAAAAAAUACCUUAAAGUUGGGUGGGUUCUGUUUUUUUUUAAAGCGUUUUGAGACUUCAUAUUUCAAAGUACGUUGAAAUCCUUGGAUGAAAGAUGCUAGAAGCCUACAAAGUAUAAUUUUCUGGAUUGUUUUUUUUAUUUUAAACAAUAUUUUUUUUCCUAUGCUAACUGCUUCCCAGAUUAAUAGAUUGAUAACACAUAAGAGACUCCCUGGUGCUAGGGGAACAUUCCCAGUGGUGUCAACAUUCUAGUUGUGGGACUUCUAAUUUAAGAAACGUAUUGUCAUAAGGAAUAAGAUCAAGGCUGAAUCCUGCCUGCAUUUAGGUCCAAAUAUAAGAUACACUUUGUGGAAGGAAUCCCCAGUGAACACUGAGAGUAAUUAAGUAAAAAUAAAACCUUUCACUUCAGCCCCCCCCCCUCA